AACGAACGCUGGCGGCAUGCCUAACACAUGCAAGUCGAACGAGACGUUCCGGCCUUGUGGCGCUCGGCUGCGUAACGACUGGGAACCUGCCCUUAGGUACCGAAUAACUCACUUUAGGGGGAGUUAAUGACAGUUAAUCUCUUCGCACAAAAGAUUUAUCGCUUUUGGAUGGGGCCGCGUUAGAUUCGCUAGUUGGUAGGGUAAAAGCCGACCAAGGCGACGUUCCAUAGCUGGUCUGGGAGGAGGAUCAGCCACGCUGGCGCUGAGACCCGGCCCAGACUCGUACGGGAGGGAGGAGUGGGGAAUAUUGGACGAUGGGCGAAAGCCUGAUACAGCAGUGCCGGGUAAGUGAUGAAGGGGUUAGGGUUGUAAAGCUCUUUUACCCGAGAUGAUAAUGACAGUACCGGGUGAAUAAGCUCCGGCUAACUCCGUG
rnacentral:rRNA from 1 species